AAACACUCUAGGAGGAGGAUGAUUAAGCUCGUGCUCCCCACCUCUUGGCAAAAGUGGUGUACAGGAUGAGGCACACGUUUGCCGACACAGCUAACAAGAAGAUCUUCUCUGCUUGAUCAUACUUAUUGGUUGGUGUGGAUGGCAAGGGUCUAGAGCUAAGCCCAGAAGACACCAAUCCCGUAGUGUCCAGCUAAGCAGUUGAGGUCUGACAGAUGUCACAGGUGCCAGCCAAGAAGGUUUGGGAGAUGUCCUGUGCCAAGAGUGUGGUGGCCAUCAAAAACCAUUUGUAUUCACCAGAAGAGGCUGAACAUACAGUUUAACUCAGUACACUGUCCACAGGCUUGAGUUCUUGGCUGUGAAGUGUGUCAUUGCUGAGGUCAGACUAUGUUUACAGAACAAAAUUCCAGGUAUCUGUGGAUGACAGGAAACAAGAAGAAAUGACUGAUAUACCAAGAGAAGUGAUACAAGCCAAAAAGCAAGGAAGUCAUGUUCAGAUCCCCAAGUUCCAGUGCUGAGAAGGAACUCUGCUGUUGAGACAAUGGAAGAAGUUGAGGCUGUCCAAUACAUCACUGUUCUGGAUUUUGACUGUGAUCACUUACGUGGAACCAAGAAGCAGUUAGUGCUGACCAGAGCCUAUUUGCAUGGCCAUAAAAGCCCUCCUUAGUGACUUUGGAUACAUAAGUUUUAAAAAAAAUUACUCUAUAGCCUUUUUUUUUUUUACUUUUUCUUUUCUUUUUUUUUUUU